UGUUUACUGUAUGAGAGUAUCUGACCCCUCUCUCUCUCUCUCUGUGUGUGUGUGUGUGUGUGUGUAGGUAAUA